rnacentral:rRNA from 1 species
UAGGGAAUCUUCCGCAAUGGACGAAAGUCUGACGGAGCAACGCCGCGUGAGUGAAGAAGGAUUUCGGUUCGUAAAACUCUGUUGUUAGGGAAGAAAAAAUGUAUAGUAACUAUAUACAAAAGAGACGGUACCUAACCAGAAAGCCACGGCUAACUACGUGCCAGCAGCCGCGGUAAUACGUAGGUGGCAAGCGUUGUCCGGAAUUAUUGGGCGUAAAGCGCGCGCAGGUGGUUUAGAAAGUCUGCUGUGAAAGCCCACGGCUCAACCGUGGAGGGUCAUUGGAAACUAAUAAACUUGAGUGCAGGAGAGAAAAGUGGAAUUCCUAGUGUAGCGGUGAAAUGCGUAGAGAUUAGGAGGAACACCGGUGGCGAAAGCGGCUUUUUGGCCUGCAACUGACACUGAGGCGCGAAAGCGUGGGGAGCAAACAGG